CUUGUGUUUUAGAAGGGAGGAUUGAGAUUUUGGCCUGCAAGGUUCUGUUCCCAGCCCUGACAUGGAUUUGUUAUGACGUUUUUGAGAAGAAAGCGGUGGCUACAAGGAUUAACAGUGGCUAUCCCUGUACUAGGUCUCCUUGUGGUUGUUGAAAAUACUGCAUACUUUAUUAACUGCAAUAUACAUAAAGCCUCCGUUUCAUGGCUCACCCAUCCAGCUUUCUCCAUGAAUGGAUAGGUCAACAGAUUUACACAUCAUGAAGUCAUUGUAUGUACAGAAAACUGAUGAGGCAUCCUGAGCAAAAUAGAACAGCCUAUUCUCUCUCGUUUCAGAAUUGGGCUAGGGUAGCAAUUUACCUACCCACCUGUGGUUUAAAAUAGUUAUCUUCUAAUCCACUUCGUUGGUUCAAAGAGGCAGAAUCUGUUUCAUGUUGAAUGGGCAUUUGAUACAGCAGUAUUGAGUACAGGAAUAAAAAAGAUCCUCCCAAUAUAAACA